AUGCGUGUGUUCAUCCUCUGUUGUGUGCCUGCGUCUGAGGAUCUUCCUGGACUUCUUUACGUCUACAGAGGACCAUUUAUAAAUCCUAAUCUGCAGUUGUUCUUGUGUGUGUGUGUGUGUGCGCGCGCGCGCGUUUUGUUCUUCAGAGCAUUUUCUUCAGGGCAGUGGAGAGAACCCUCACCCUUAUCCGAUCUGCAGCGCCGCCCGAGUCAUCCCAACGCAACCCCAAGCUGUUCAACUACGCAGCCCCAGGCCGUUCAACGACAGAGCCGCUGGAAGUUCAUGAACACAUCACCUGGAUCCUGCUGCCCACCAUCCAGUUCAAUUUCUGCUGAAUCUGGUGAAGGGAGACUUCUUCUGAGGUCAAUUCCCUCUUUGGUUUCGUUUCCACAUGUCGCCAAUUGCUAUUUGCCGGAAAGAUUUAUGUAUACUGGGAUCUCCAUGUACUGA
rnacentral:rRNA from 1 species